AAUAGAUGAGAACUCCCGGCUUUUUCUUGACUUUGUUUUUGAAGCCGGGGGGCUCGGAUCAGAGUGCCAAGUGGGCCAAUUUUGGUAAGCAGAACUGGCGCUGUGGGAUGAACCAAACGUCGAGUUAAGGCGCCCAAAUCGACGCUCAUGUGAAACCAUGAAAGGCGUUGGUUGCUUAAGACAGCAGGACGGUGGCCAUGGAAGUCGGAAUCCGCUAAGGAGUGUGUAACAACUCACCUGCCGAAGCAACUAGCCCUGAAAAUGGAUGGCGCUGUAGCGUCGUGCCUAUACUCGACCGUCAACGGCAAAGAUGGCCGGCGGGCAACCGUCGGCCGUUACGCCUUGACGAGUAGGAGGGCCGCGGCGGCGUGCGUAGAAGGGUCUGGGCGUGAGCCUGCCUGGAGCCGCCGUCGGUGCAGAUCUUGGUGGUAGUAGCAAAUACUCCAGCGAGGCCCUGGAGGACUGAUGUGGAGAAGGGUUUCUUGUGAACAGCUGUUGCACAAGAGUCAGUCGGUCCUAAGCCCUAGGAGAAAUCCGAAGCGAUGGGUUGCCGUUAAUAUUAUAUCAAAUUAUAUGAAGGCACCCGUUUGGGCGAAAGGGAAUCCGGUUCCUAUUCCGGAACCUGGCAGUGGAACCGUUCCAAUUCGGGCCCUCUGAGGACUCGUCAGGGCAACCUGAAUAGACCCGGAGACGCCGACAGGAGGUUGGGGGAGAGUUGUCUCUUCUCUAUAAGCGAUCGAGUUCCCUGGAAACUUCUAGCAAGGAGAUAGGGUUUGGAUCGCGAAGAGCACUGCAGUUACGGCAGUGUCCCAAUCUUCCUCUCGGACCUUGAAAAUCCGGGUGAGGGCCACGAGGAACCCCACGCCAGACCGUACCCAUAUCCGCAGCAGGUCUCCA
rnacentral:rRNA from 1 species